rnacentral:rRNA from 1 species
UACGUAGGGUGCGAGCGUUGUCCGGAAUUACUGGGCGUAAAGAGCUCGUAGGUGGUUUGUCGCGUUGUUCGUGAAAACUCACAGCUCAACUGUGGGCGUGCGGGCGAUACGGGCAGACUGGAGUACUGCAGGGAGACUGGAAUUCCUGGUGUAGCGGUGGAAUGCGCAGGAUAAUCAGGAGGAACACCGGUGGCGAAGGCGGGUCUCUGGGCAGUAACUGACGCUGGAGGAGCGAAAGCCGUGGGAGCGAACAGG